UACGUAGGGGGCAAGCGUUGUCCGGAAUCAUUGGGCGUAAAGCGCGUGUAGGCGGUUCAGUAAGUCUGCUGUGAAAGUCCAGGGCUCAACCCUGGGAUGCCGGUGGAUACUGCUGGGCUAGAGUACGGAAGAGGCGAGUGGAAUUCCUGGUGUAGUGGUGAAAUGCGCAGAUAUCGGGAGGAACACCGAUUGCGAAGGCAGCUCGCUGGGACGUAACUGACGCUGAGACGCGAAAGCGUGGGGAGCAAACAGG
rnacentral:rRNA from 1 species